rnacentral:rRNA from 1 species
UUGACGGGGAGCACCACAACGGGUGGAGCUUGUCGGUUUAAUUGGAUUCAACGCCGGAAAUCUUACCGGGACCGACAGCAAUAUGAAGGCCAGGCUGAAGACUUUUGCCGGAUUAGCUGAGAGGUGGUGCAUGGCCGUCGUCAGUUCGUACUGUGAAGCAUCCUGUUAAGUCAGGCAACGAGCGAGACCCACGCCCACAGUUGCCAGCGUACUCUCCGGAGUGACGGGUACACUGUGGGGACCGCCGCUGCUAAAGCGGAGGAAGGAAUGGGCAACGGUAGGUCAGUAUGCCCCGAAUAUCCCGGGCUACACGCGAGCUACAAUGGUUGGUACAAUGGGUAUCUACCCCGAAAGGGGACGGGAAUCUCCUAAAACCAAUCUUAGUUCGGAUUGAGGGCCGCAACUCGCCCUCACGAAGCUGGAAUCCGUAGUAAUCGCGUUUCAACAGAACGCGGUGAAUACGUCCCUGCUCCUU